UCCUGCGCCCACCCACCUUAGGAAUGCCACAUGGCCCGGGCCUGGGGCGGAGCGGUGGGACCAGGGCUCCCGGAGUCAGCUCCAGGGCAGGAAGUGGCCCGCUCCUCCUUUCAGAGAGUGUUUCCGGAGCGCCUACUGUGUGCUCCUGGAUGGGGGUGGGGGCACUACCGAGCAUAAGGGGUGCCAGUCCCCGUAAGUUCGUCUCCUCUUCUGGGAGCUUGCCCAUGUGGGGAUGGGGAAACUGAGGCUCAGUAGGUACGGAGGCUAACUCCCAGGUGCGAAGGGACCAGUUGUUUUGUCAGCCCGUAGGGUCGCGGCGAAGGCCACUUUGGAUAAAACCCCAAGCCUAGCACAGAGGGUCGGCCAGGGGAUUUCUAUGUGUAGCCCUGGCUAUCCUGGAACUCACUGUGUAGACCAGACUAGCAUAAAGCCCGUGUCAUCUCUGAGUGCUGGCUUGCAGGUAUGCAACACAAGUCCCCCUCCCGUGUUUAUUUAUUUACUUUAAAGAUUAUUUACUAUUAUUUCUUGCUUUUUUUUUUUUUUUCAGCCAGGGUCUCACUGUGUGGACCUGGCUGUCCUGGAACUUUUAUGUAGUCCAUGUUGGCCUUGAACUUGAGACAUUCCUCCUGCUUCUGCCUCCCAAGAACUGGGAUUACAGACAUGAGCUACCAUAAUUUUCCCAUGAGCUAGCCUCGAACUCACUCUGUGGCUGGGGAAGACCUUGAAUUUCUGUUCGCUGCCGUGUCUGGUUUUAUUUAUGAGGUACUGGGAUUGAACACAGAGCUUUGUGCAUUCUUGAAUUUUGAGGCAGGUGUAACUUUAAUUUUUAUUUUUUUAAGAUUUAUUUCAUGUAUAUGAGUACACUGUUGCUGUCUUCAGACACACCAGAAGAGGGCAUCAGAUCCUAUUACAGAUGGUUGUGAGCCACCAUGUGGUUGCUGAGAAUUGAACUCAGGACCUCUGGAAGAGCAGUCAGUGUCCUUAACCACUGAGCCAUCCCUCCAGCCCGUAACUUUUUUAAUGAUCAUUCUUACAUGCUUUAACCUCCCUUCUAGCCCACCACCCACCAGAGGUUGUGGAAAAGAAAGGAUAGAAAUAGCUCUUUGGAUUAAUUCCCAUCCACGUUGUCAGGAAACUAGCAGUUCAGUUCACAGGUCAGCAGCGACUGCUGGGUCCACUGGAAUAUACUUCAGGGAUACACUAGCAGUCCAGUUGGGCAGUCAGAAGACCGACUACAAAUCAGCAGUGGUGGCAUGACCUAACAGAGACAGCCAGGCCUCAGCGGAAUUGGAACUUGUCAGCAGGAGGGACCAGGGCCAACAGGAACACCAGGAGAAGGUCUCAUUCUUGUCCGUGUAUCUCUUGAUGAAGCAAAGAUCAGUGAAGACGAGAUAUCAAGAAGCUUCUAGCUAUGCAAGCAAGCCAAGCCUCACCUCUGACCCUUUCCGUUUAGUAUUAUUUAUAUUCCCGCCAAACAUCACGUGCCCUCUGCGAGUCUUGCCUCAUUGUACGUCAGCAUGUGAGUCUGCCUCAGCUGACAUCACUCUGCCAAUCAGCCUGAGUCCUCAGAAGCGGCCAGAAGCCGCGGCACCCCACCAGAGGUGUUUUUGGUGCAUUUCUCUCUAUGGAGUUCCGACAAAUGGAGCUCAGCGAUGCAUGUAAGGUGGACCAAUGCCUGCGUUCCAUUAGCCAAGAGUCCUUCAUCAUGGGUUCUUUCUCAUGCUUGAGUUAGCAAAACAUCCUUUCACUUGUGUCUACUUCAGGAAAACACUCCUUCACGUGUUCGCCCCAGCAAAACACCGUCCAACACAACUGACUUUCCAAAGAACCCUUAAGUUCCCACUUCAGACAGGUUCCAACUAACUUGCUCCGGCUGGCCUGGCACUCGUCUGGAGCCUGGGCCGUCUUCUUGAUCUUUCUGACUGUUUGAUUACUGAGUGUUCUGUGAAACAGGUCUCAGUAUGUAGUCUGGCUGUCCUGGAACUCAUAGAGACCCACGUACUUCUGCUGAAGGGUUGGGAUUAAAUGCAUCUGUCACCGUACCUGGCAGAUGCAUAUUGGCUUUCAUCAUGAAUGUCUCUUAGUGAACAACACUAUUUUCAGUGAGACAGCUCAGUGGAUAAAGUGGAUAAAGACACCUUCCACCUAGCCUGACAGCUUGAUCCCAGGACCCAAAUGGUGGAAGGAAGGAUUGUUCUCUCAGGUGCUUCAUGACCCUAAUGCAAUGCAUGCACACACGUAAUAAAAAUAAAAUUUAAAAUAUGUAAA